rnacentral:miRNA from 1 species
CCAGACAGGGAGAGAACAGG